rnacentral:rRNA from 1 species
UACCAGCACCCCGAGUGGUCGGGACGAUUAUUGGGCCUAAAGCAUCCGUAGCCGGUUUUACAAGUCCUCCGUUAAAUCCAGCUGCUUAACAGAUGGGCUGCGGAGGAUACUAUAAGACUAGGAGGCAGGAGAGGCAAGCGGUACUCAGCGGGUAGGGGUAAAAUCCGUUGAUCCAUUGAAGACCACCAGUGGCGAAGGCGGCUUGCCAGAAUGCGCUCGACGGUGAGGGAUGAAAGCUGGGGGAGCAAACCGG